AGAAGAAAGCACAACUUCUUCUUCCCCGUGAGUUCCUCCUCGUGGGUCCUUACUUCCUUUUUCUUUUUUUAUGGAGGUUUUUUUUUUUUUUCCACUUCUGAGCAGCUUUGCAGACACAGAGGAAGUCCAUCAAGAGCGGGGAGAAGCUGGUCAGGGUCAGGAGAAGCAGCAGCAACCCCACCUGGGAAGGACACCACAGCGGGAAGGACCCUUACCACCACCUGGGACGUGGGAUUUCUCAGGGAACAACAGCCCUUCAAGUACGAAUGGGCUUUGGCUCAGCUUUCCUCCCUGAUCCCAGGGAAGGUGUGUCCUCAGGACAUCCUCAGGGGACAUCAGCCAAGGAAAGAUGGGGCCUUGUUGGUGUGGACCUGGGAGCGGGAAGAAUCAGAAAUUGUACAACGUACAGACCAGAGUUUCCAGAGUCGCCAGAGACAACACAAGAUGUUAUCAACAUACAACUCUCAAGGUUAUGCAGGGAGUGGAGGAAUUCGGAUGUGUCUUCCGGUGUCUCAUUUGGAGAUGUGUGCCUGCGAUUUGCUGCCCACACCAAACAGCCCUGGGGAAAACAAAACAAAACGCAGAUUAUAUUACCAGGCUAAUAGAGAACUGACAGCCUCUCCCCAUGUUGGUGCCACAGACACUACCCCAGAAUCCUAUGCGUCUCCACCGCCCAGCAUAUGGCAUCAAUGUUCCAAAAAUAAGAUGAACGCCAAUGAAACCAACAUGGGAAGGGAAAAAGAAUCCAACACGAAUUGUACCCUAACAGUCAAACAGAAAAGAUGGGCAGAAAUGUCAUCUUCAAAAAAUUGUUUUUCAGGGCACAAAGAAAGAAAAUGACAGCCUUGGAAAGGAAAGGCAGCUGGCCAGAGGCAAGACAGAGCUGUGACAGGGAGUCAGGAGUGGUAGUGCAAGAACUUUGCACGCCUUCUGCUUAUUGUAUUAUCAAGACAAAGCUCAUGGUCAAGUUUCUGAAACUCAACCAGCUCUGAAAGUUUCUGUCAUCAUUACCUUUUCUAAUAUGAGAAAUUGAGACACAGCUGAAGGCGUGGGAGGAGAAGGUAGAUGAAAGGGGAUCUGGGCUGGGAGCUGGGUAAUGAGCACCCGGACCAAUAUGCCAGCCACAAGCCACAGGUGGCUACUGAGCAUGCGAAGAUGUGGCUGGUCUACACUGAGAUAUACCAUAAGUGUCAAAUAUACACUAGCUGUUGAAGAUGUAUUAUGAAAAAAA
rnacentral:lncRNA from 1 species